ACAAGUUCCAUAUGUUAGAAAAUUACGUAAAAUAGUAAAGAUGCUAGAAAAUGUAGGGUACAUAUUAAAACAUUCAAUCUUUAGUUCUUUUAAUUCAAGGUCACAUAAUAACAGAUCAAAACACAGGUCAAUAGCAAAGAUUAAAAUGCCAAAAGCUUCUAAGUGAUCGCACUCAGAAAAACUUAAAAAUAAAGAACACGAAGAAGAUGGUUGUUAAUCUUUCCAUCUCAAAUCGACCUGCCACGUCAACCUGAAACAAUAACUGAAAAGAUCAGGACACCUGGAAACACCUCAAUUUACUAAAAUAAAAAGGAGAUGUUUGUAUUUGUAUGUUCAUUUGCCUUUGAGCUGUGAUAUCAUAGUAAAUAUAAAGAGUUUAUGAACAGAAAGCACAACAAAAUGGCGAUUUUCCAAGAAAAAAGGUUCCAUGUUAUUCCAGGUAAAGCUAUUACAGAUUCCCUUGGCUAAUAAAACCUUGAACCGACUGAAUUCUCAAGCACAAUAUAGCAACAAGAUUGCUAAGAUAAUGGCAACCAUCAUACCUUUAUUUGUUGCAGGAUAAAAAGGAUCAGAGAGCCUCCUCAGCUUCUUGUCCGUAAUCAUAAACUAUCUCAAUCUGCACAAGCAACCAGGAAUUAUAGUUGUGCAAGCAGUUCUUAAGGAGUGACUCGUACCAGUAUUGAAUCUGUUCAUCUAUUAUUUAGUUUUACAUGAAAAUCACAAGUAUGCAAUAUUUAAUAUUUUAAAACAUUAGUCAAGAGUUUCACAAACACUAAUAAUGGUAAAGCAUGCCAAGAAGACAAUUAAAGCAUGCAUUCUUAAUUUAAAUACCAGAAGGCAGGUAAUAUGUAAUAUCCAACAUACAAGAGAAGUCUUGAAGUUGAAGUCAUAGCAUAGAGCACCAAAAUUUAGUGUUCUCUAGCAAACAUACAUACUAACCAAAUAAAAAGUGUUGCAAAUGCUAAAGAAUAUCAAACCUCUGGCUAAAGCUAGAGAAAUUGAAAUUUUAUAUUCGACCCUUUCUUUGCAACAUCUUGCCCAACAAAAAGAAACAAGCAUGCGAUAAUGAAGUAGUCUAAGCGAUGGUUACACACACCACCCUAAGUAUUAGAGUCUCUCUUUCUCCAUGUGUUACUUGUAUUCCUUACCCAUGUGAUUCAAAAAUUGUUACAGACUAUGGGACUAGACCUACAUAUCUACAUAAUAUCUCACCCUAUCAUCUCGCUUUUUUAAAAUAUUUAAAAUUUAAAAUAAGAAUAGAAGCCACUAGUCCUUUUAGAAUCAAGGUAUAAUGCAGAAUCAUGAUAAUUUCAGAAGAGAAGUGGUUAUAACCACAUCACAAAAUUAAGCGAAAUCUCCAUCCCAGAUNCUGUGUGCAUAUACAUUAAAGAAUUUGGUAUGUGAGUUAAACAUUAAAGAAUUUGGUAUGUGAGUUAAACAAAAAAAAUCUAUCUUAAAUUAACUUAAAGAUAUUUUAGAUAUAUAUUUGUUGUUAGGAUUUCGGAGAAAAAAUCGAGCUAGCUGCAAAUUUUUUCAAGAUUUUAUAUCAUAUCUAGUAAAUUGACAAUGUGCAGCGUCAUUUACCACUUGUACAUAACCUAUUUCCUGGUUUUCAAACCCCUCCUCCCUUCCACCAGAGGACCACCUUAGGAAAAAUAAACAUACUAGAUUAGUCACAAGAUUAAACAAAGCAAACUGAGUUUGUACAUGAAAAUAAAGGAAGCAAUGGGUCUUGCCCUUCAAAAACUCAUAAAAAAGUUCCCAUCCACUGAAUCUUAUCACUCGGUUAGUCCGAUAUACCUACCUUGUGUUGGCUAUGUUGGUCCGAUAUACCUACCUUUAUUGGCUAUGGAGCUAAUCGGGAAGCAUUGUUGAAGAAAGUUUUGCUCAAGUAUUCAGUUAAGAAAAAAUAUAGUAUGAUUUUAAAAAUGCCCUCGGUCUUGAGUUUUUAUAAGUAUGGUAUUCCAUUUAAACAGGUUAAAAGUAGAGUUCAUUCAAUAGAAUACAUUCAUUCAAUAAUCUUGCAUCACAAAUAACAAAUGACGUUUUUCACUUCUUUUUUCUUUGGUAAAGGAAUUGUACUACUGCAAUCGCAAACCUACACCUGUUGCUCCCAAGAUACCAAGAGGAGGUGAGCUCUUGACCAAACAAGUUCCAUAUGUUAGAAAAUUACGUAAAAUAGUAAAGAUGCUAGAAAAUGUAGGGUACAUAUUAAAACAUUCAAUCUUUAGUUCUUUUAAUUCAAGGUCACAUAAUAACAGAUCAAAACACAGGUCAAUAGCAAAGAUUAAAAUGCCAAAAGCUUCUAAGUGAUCGCACUCAGAAAAACUUAAAAAUAAAGAACACGAAGAAGAUGGUUGUUAAUCUUUCCAUCUCAAAUCGACCUGCCACGUCAACC
rnacentral:lncRNA from 1 species